rnacentral:rRNA from 1 species
UACGAAGGGGGCUAGCGUUGUUCGGAAUUACUGGGCGUAAAGGGCGCGUAGGCGGCCUGCUAAGUCGGACGUGAAAUCCCUCGGCUCAACCGGGGAACUGCGUCCGAUACUGGCGAGGCUUGAAUCCGGGAGAGGGAUGUGGAAUUCCAGGUGUAGCGGUGAAAUGCGUAGAUACCUGGAGGAACACCAGUGGCGAAGGCGGCAUCCUGGACCGGUAUUGACGCUGAGGCGCGAAAGCUAGGGUAGCAAACGGG